AAGGGGUGGCUGUUGGUGAAGGGUUGGAAUGGAGUUUGAAGGGAGUUGGCAUGAUCCCUCAUGAUAUGAAACAGGCCAGGGAUAAAGAGAGAAGGGGAUCAGGUGCCGAUCAGGGACUUAGGACUUGGUACAUGAACAUAGAGGGCCUGGGUACCAGCUUUCCUCAUGUAGAAAUGUUCUGGCCUGAAACUCUGAGAAGUCUGAUAAUUCUAAAUUUGGGUCUGGAUUUCUAAGGCAGGAGAAUAUAACAUAUUUUAUUUCUCAGUUUGUUAAUGUGACUUAUAACACAUUUUAUGCGGGCCUUAAUUUCAUUCUUGGCCCUAGUAUUCUUUAAGGUGAACCCAUGAAACUGUGUCCGUAUGGUAAGGAAAAUUACAUGCCAGACUUUAGGCAAAAGUACAGUUAAGCAUUAAUCAGGUAGCCUUCUGGCCUAUGUCCCUAUAGCUAUUCUAGCAUUAGAUACUGACCAUUUGCUUCCCCAUCAUUUCUAUAGAUAGAAUCUCUAACGUUAAAAUCAUAAGACUGUUUUGCUUAAAAAUUAAUUAAGAUGUUUUUCAGAUCCUGAGUACCAGCAAAAUGGCUGAUGCCAGCUAGUCUGAAGACCCCAAAACUAAGUCAACACAAAAAUACAGUUUCUUCAUCUCCCUGUCCCCUGAUUUCACCUUUUACUCUUUCAUUAAUCCAUGACCCCAGGUCCACAACCCAUCCUAAACCCCUUAAGAUCCCUAUCCCCAAACUCCUUGGGAAGACAGAUGUGAGAUUUCCUCUUACCUCCUUGUUUGAAUCCCUGAUGAUUAAACUUCUUUCUCUGCUACAAUUCUUUGUGUCUCCAUGUAUUGACUUGCCACAUAUUGGGCAAUGGAGCCUGGCACGAUUACACCUGGAGCGGAUGGCCUUACGUGGAGCAUGGGCCCUACCUGGGGCAGUGAACAUCUCUGAAGACAUUUCCUUCGGGUGGUGAGUCAGCACAAUGAACGUGGCCCUCAUAACCAUCGCCUGUAGUCAGAAGGAGGGAAGAGGAAGAGGAUGUUUAGACUGUGAGGUGAGGUGCUCUGAGAGUUGUGGGGUACGAUUCUAGAGAGCACAGGGGUGCACCAACACAGGAGGAGGAGGCGAAACUGGGAGCGCCAAAGGCAAACAUGGAUGACCUCGUCGUUCUGGAUCCUGCCCCACUGUUCUGGCAUAUCGGGGAAUGCCAACUUGAGUUCAACUUCAGAAGACACAAUAGGCUUCCUGGAGGGAAUAUAGAGGACCUCAGGAUACACACUUGGUCACUGGAUUGAGAUUCUUGAAUGUUAGAAGAAAGAUCCAGCAAUUUCGCUGAAGAUCUCAAAAGGUGAUGAUGAUUCAUUAACAAGAUGGCUUGAAUUGUUUCAUCCAUCAGCCCUUCUCACUUCUUAGUUUUGGUUCAAUCUGCUUCUUCUGUCUAGAACGACUCUUUCAGCUUUAUCCAUCCUUCAAAUUUCAAUGCAAGCACCAAUCUCUUCAAGAACCAUUCCAGACACCUUCUCCCUGCACUGUUGCUAAGCAUAGAGACAUUUACAAUCACCA
rnacentral:lncRNA from 1 species